rnacentral:lncRNA from 1 species
UACAAAGCAUGUGUUAUAUUAAACACAAAGAAAGAGGCCUCUCACUUUUUUUCAUUUAGGUUGAGAGAAUUGAAAGGAUACGAGAUAAUGAACUAAAGGCUCAGAAUGUGGAAGCAGGAGACUUGUUGCUGACGUGCGGGUGCAUCACUGGAAUUUUUGGAAACUCGAUAUGUUAAUUUUAUCUUACAAUGUAUCUCUUCAGUUCCUCCCCAUCUUGCCCUUAUUCCUGUCAUCGUCUUUUCCUUCCAUUAGUACAAUGGAAACUGGAACUCAUAUCCCCAACACCGUGUAGGCCACGGUUAGUAUAAUAGAGCAGAUCUCUUUCCUGAGUUUGAUAUGGAGAUACUAGAUUAUGUUUGUUUUGUUGAGGUGUAAUUUGCGUACGAUAAAAUUCACACUUUUUAAGUGCCCAGUCUGGUAGGACUUGUAUAUUUACAAUGUCCAACCACAGUGUUUUCAUCGUUCAUCACUCCCCUUUAAAAAAAACAAACAGACCUGCACACAUUAGCAGUUAUUCCAUAUUCCAUCCCCAGCCACAAGGAAACAUUAAGUUACCUUCUGUCUGCAUGAAUGUGGCUCUUUGGGGCAUUUCAUGUAAAUUAAGUCGUAUAACGUGGCCUUAUUUCUCCCUUCUUUCAGUUAGUUUACUCUCUACAAGGGUCAUCCAUAUUGUAACAUUUAUUAGUGCCUCAUAACUUUUUUUUUUUUUUUUUUUGCGGUACGCGGGCCUCUCACUGUUGUGGCCUCUCCCGUUGCGGAGCACAGGCUCCGGACGCGCAGGCUCAGCGGCCAUGGCUCACGGGCCCAGCCGCUCCGCGGCAUGUGGGAUCCUCCCGGACCGGGGCACGAACCCGCGUCCCCUGCAUCGGCAGGCGGACUCUCAACCACCGCGCCACCAGGGAAGCCCACCUCAUAACUUUUUAUUGCUGAGUAGUAAUAUCCACAGUUUGAUUACCCAGUCGUCACUCAUUGGAGGGGUUCUUUACACAUUUUGGCUGUUAAGAAAAAUGCUUCUAUGGACAUCUUUUACAAGAAGUCUUUGUGGAUAUGUGUUUUCCCUUCUCUCAGGUAUAUUUGUAUAAGAGGAAGCUCUGAUUGUGAUAUUGUGAUUUAUGACAUAUAGAUUUGGUCAUUCAGAUGAGUAAUGUAUUACUUCCACUCACACCCUAUUUGGCGAAACUGUUCUCACGGUCUUGCCUAGCUGCCAGUGGCUGAGAAAUUAGGGGAACGCAUAGCUCUUGAUGUGGAGCAAUUAAAAGAGUGAAGAAAGUCAUUAUGUUGGUGUAAUUACCAUGCAGCUAUAUGUGGAAAUUAAAAUGAAUAAAAGUG